rnacentral:lncRNA from 1 species
CGGAGGCCUGGGGACGCCGAGGGCCUAGCUGAGGGAGGCCGGAUUCAGGGCAGCAGAGGGAAGGAGGCCAGUCCCGGCCAGGGGCCCAGGGAGCCCCAGGAAGGAGAACACUAGACCCAGGGCGUCCAGAUCCCUAGGGCACAGGCCGCCCUGGACAACAGAUCCCUGUGAAGCCGAGAGCACCCCUAAGAAGAGACCUGCCCGUGGGUCUCUGUCAGUCACCCCCUGCCCACACUCCUGCCCGCUGCCUGACAUGAAUCUAGGUCGGAUGGGUGAGCUCUGCAAGCGUGAGGAAGACCAUCAGGACCCAAGAGAGGCCCAGGGCCUGGUGGAUGCGCAGCUGUCUGGGGCUGAGGAGGAGGAGGCCAUAUCCCCCUCAUCCUCCCCCUCUGUCCCCUUCCUGGGCACCCUGGAGGAGGUGGCUGUGGCUGCGACCACGAGUCCUGAACAGGGCCAUCCGAGUGCUCA